UCUCCCCCCUUUUGGGGGGCUCUUAUAGAAUUUUAUUCCGGUCUGAGAGAGCGCGGGGGGCACACCUCUCACACGCACAUCUAGCGCCAUCGCACAGUAACCUUCUUCUUGGCCGACGAGCGGCGGACGGGUGAGUAAUGUCUGGGAAACUGCCUGAUGGAGGGGGAUAACUACUGGAAACGGUAGCUAAUACCGCAUAACGUCGCAAGACCAAAGAGGGGGACCUUCGGGCCUCUUGCCAUCAGAUGUGCCCAGAUGGGAUUAGCUAGUAGGUGGGGUAACGGCUCACCUAGGCGACGAUCCCUAGCUGGUCUGAGAGGAUGACCAGCCACACUGGAACUGAGACACGGUCCAGACUCCUACGGGAGGCAGCAGUGGGGAAUAUUGCACAAUGGGCGCAAGCCUGAUGCAGCCAUGCCGCGUGUAUGAAGAAGGCCUUCGGGUUGUAAAGUACUUUCAGCGGGGAGGAAGGCGUUGAGGUUAAUAACCUCAGCGAUUGACGUUACCCGCAGAAGAAGCACCGGCUAACUCCGUGCCAGCAGCCGCGGUAAUACGGAGGGUGCAAGCGUUAAUCGGAAUUACUGGGCGUAAAGCGCACGCAGGCGGUCUGUCAAGUCGGAUGUGAAAUCCCCGGGCUCAACCUGGGAACUGCAUUCGAAACUGGCAGGCUAGAGUCUUGUAGAGGGGGGUAGAAUUCCAGGUGUAGCGGUGAAAUGCGUAGAGAUCUGGAGGAAUACCGGUGGCGAAGGCGGCCCCCUGGACAAAGACUGACGCUCAGGUGCGAAAG
rnacentral:rRNA from 1 species